UCUUAAUCAUGUCAUGCAUGACUCUGUCAGGUCCCGGUGCAGAGCUCUUACAUACGAUCAAGGCAGCUCUCAACUCAGCAAUACUGAAAGGACGGUUAUACAGUUGGUUCUGUCGGCAUUUGCGUGCGAAUGGCUUGCAUUCUUCGAUCUGCUUGUAUUUAAAAAUGAUUUCGAAUAAUGAAUUGAGCUUGACACACGCUCAAAGUACUCCCCAAGAGAGUCUGCCUGGUCCUGCAAGGUAUUCCCUUGGGUGUUUACUAGAGGGAGGGAG
rnacentral:lncRNA from 1 species